rnacentral:tRNA from 1 species
CAGGGAGACAACAAAAUGUUUAAUAUUAUUAUUUUGUCACCUUAGGUCGAUCGGUAUCUCACGUUUUUAAUUUAUUAAGAAUUUCAUUUCCUAAGUUUUUCUAGGUCACACCCAUUAUUUUUCCUGGGCCAUUAGCUCAGGUGGUUAGAGCGCACCCCUGAUAAGGGUGAGGUCCCUGGUUCAAGUCCAGGAUGGCCCAUAUCUCUAUGUUGGGGGUAUAGCUCAGUUGGUAGAGCGCCUGCUUUGCAAGCAGGAUGUCAGCGGUUCGAGUCCGCUUACCUCCACUGAUUACCACCUCUUCCAUAACCGGUAGAAAGGAAAUGUUUUGAGUUGUGAUCAAAUUCUGAAAGAAUCUAGCUUCCUAAUGAAAUCAUUAAGAUGCUGGACUCAUUGAAUUAAUUUCAUUGUUUUCAGAGAACCUUGACAACUGCAUAGAUUAUUUUUAAAGACAAUAAGCAUCCUUAAUGAUGCAGAUUUAUUAUUUGUGCGAAUGCAUUAAUAACAAUUCUAUUGAGCUGAUGCUUCAAUUUUUGAAGUUAUU